rnacentral:rRNA from 1 species
UACAGAGGGUGCGAGCGUUGUUCGGAAUUAUUGGGCGUAAAGGGCGCGUAGGCGGUGCGGUAAGUCACCUGUGAAAUCUCCUGGCUCAACUGGGAGCUUGCAGGCGAAACUGCCGUGCUGGAGUGUGGGAGAGGUGCGUGGAAUUCCCGGUGUAGCGGUGAAAUGCGUAGAUAUCAGGAGGAACACCUGUGGUGUAGACAGCUUACUGGACCAUUUCUGACGCUGAGACACGAAAGCGUGGGUAGCAAACAGG